AUCUACACUGAUUGAAGUGGAUUUAACUAGUGACAUCAGUAAGGGAUCAUAGCUUUAGCCUGGAUUCACCUAGUCUUUCUAAGUCAUGGAAGGAGCAGCUGUUCUUAAUGUUUUGUCUACCCAGUGUAAAGCACUACAGAUAAUCAAGUGCUAUUUGCAUGUGAUGCAUUUGCUCUGUUGUUUACAGUAUGAUUUGUAUCGUAUAGAGCGUGGCUUUAAGGGAAAAGUAUGGUCACAUCUAAUAAAAACAAAUGUGAAAAAUUAACAGAGUAAUAACACAAAUGUGUUUUAACACACUACCUAUUCGUAUAAGUAUUUAUUCAUCAUCCACAUAUUCAUAUUAAGCUUCUACGUCUGUGUACAGGAAAGUAUAAUUUGAAAGACGUAAGAGAAAAUAUAUCAGCUAAUUGUUAAAUUAUUAUGACGUUCUUUCUUUUUCUUUCCAAUACAAUAAGUGUCGUAACUAUUGUUUCCAAACUGCGUUACCCACUCCAGUCAGCAGAUGGCGAUGGGCGUCUUUCAGGUGAUGCUUCUUGAUGACGUAUAAUGGACUGGACGGGACGCUUCUUCAGGAACAACAAGGCGCAAACUCUUUCAACCACCUCGGUAGCUUGCUAGACAACAUAAAACUAAAAUAUUGAUUCUUUAGACCAUGUUAUUGUACAUGAGCUAAUCUCAGUGUUUUAAACAAAUUUCGGUUGACGUAUCUACUGGUGAACUUUAACCUAAUGUGCUUGUUCAAUUUGCAAACUUGUUAAAGAUUGAUACUGAGGUUAGCACUAGGCUAGUCGCUAAUGCUAGCUAGCUAGCUAGCUAACAUCCCUGACCAUGAGCUCACUGAACUACUCCUCCCUUGCUAAUGAAGCGGAGGUCUGCUGUUUGGAGAAAGAAUCUUUCAGAAUGAAAAAGGAGGAAGAGGAGGCUGUUAUAGUGAAAGAAGAGAACGAACCCUUUAGAGAGGAAGAGGAUGCUAUCUUAAUAUACGUGAAGGAGGAAGACGUUUUGAGAGUGAAAAAGGAGGAGACAGAAGAUCCGAUUGACACCAGAGAGAGACAUGACUAUCGUGGAUCCUCUGCGGAGCCUCAACAACAUCCUGAUGCUGACGAGGCAGAGAAGAGUCUCUCCAGAUCAGAACACCAGAUGGACAACGCUAGCCCUUCCACCCUCCCGGAGUCCAUGUGUCGUGCCUCUCCUGGUAUCACGUUACUGCUGGGUAUGAAGAGGUUGUCUGUGCUGCUGGUGGACUGCAGGAAAACAACGGGGCUGAGUGGAACUGUGAGAGGAGGAGAAGAGAAGAAAGGAUCAGAUUUGACUCAUCAAAGUAAGUGCUGUAGUUUAGUUUGAACAAAUAUAAUAGAUCUGCCCACUGGUAUCUGUUACCAGGACAACCAGCAGAGUUCUGUUAGUUGACAGGAAGAUAGACUGGUGGAUAUGGAUGUUAUGAAUAUCAUAACACUGAAAAAGGAUUCUGCCAAUGAAAAGAGAGAAACCAAUAGACCAUAUAAAACCUUAAUGAAAGUUAGCUUUAGAGAGAAACCAAUAGACCAUAUAAAACCUUGAUGAAAGUUAGCUUUAGAGAGAAACCAAUAGACCAUAUAAAACCUUGAUGAAAGUUCGCUUCAGAGAGAAAGUUUCAAGAUGAUCUGAUGUAAGGUGCAUGUUUUACAAAAACAUUUUCUCAAAAUAUGAUGGAUGUUACAUUGCCUGUCCCAGUCAACCCCCCUAACACUUACAAAGAGCUGCAGUGAGUUUCAGAAUGGGUUGCAAGGAAUAAGUUAGUCCUAGAUAUUUCAGAUUACCUUAAAUUACAUGGCCUACUAUGCUAAUUCUGUAGCGGUAUUGUUAGGGGGGGUAAAGAAAUAUUUUGUUGGAGCACCAGGCAGGUAUUAACUAGUUAUUAAAGUUAGUUAUUACCUAUUAUAACAUUAUUAUUAUUAAAUAUUAUUAAAACUGAAAGGAUGAGAGUAGAAUAGAGUAGCGCUUCCAGAC
rnacentral:lncRNA from 13 species